GCGUUUAAAAAACUGGAGGGAAUGGCUAAAACAUGGCGGACCGAUCACAAGUGAUACCCGUAUGGCGCCACUCUGAUUAUAGGCUCUCUAGUGACUUGACCGCAACCUAUGUCGAUUACAGCGGAAACAUCUGAAGUUCGAUUUUAGGGGUUCACGUUUCGUUCUUAGUUAUUUUUAUAUUCAUGACUGUUAAAAUCUGAUACGACCAGAUUACAUCAGCGACCAAAAAUGAAAGUAUCAUUGUGCAAAUAUAUUGUAUGUGAAUUUUCUGUGAAUGAAAAAAACAAAGUUCUUUCUGCAGCAUACAGUAAUUGUGUGUAGAAAAGUAUCAUGAUUCUAUCCACAGAACUACUAUCACAGAAGACUAUCACAGAAGUUAAUUACAGAAGUUAAUUACAGAAGUUAUUAACAGAAGUUAAUUGACAAUGAAUUGAUGAAAAUACAGUGGUCAAAGAAUGUUGUAAUAGUAGACCAUAUAUCACUAUUAUAUCACUAUGCAGAAAAAGAUGCGUAUUGCAAGUGGGACACUGUGGUCACCAAAUUGCAUGUAUACACUUAAUUGCAUGUAUACAUGCUAAAUGCAGAAAAUAAAAAUAAGCGAAUAAGGAUAAAAUAGGAUAAAAGAAUAAAGAUAAAAUAAGCGUAAUCAACGAUGGAGUCUUUGUGCCGAAAAGUGUUUCAUUAGAGACAAGCACAGAAAGAUUCAGUCUAGGUGAAAAUUGCAAUCUCAGAGUGAAAUGGCAGGCACGAAGAAUACUUAUAAGAGCAUAAAAGAUCACAAUGCAAAGAGCGGUAACAAUACUAGAAGAUGGCAAUAUUUUGAUAUUAUGGAUAAACAGUUCAGUGAUAAACCUUGGGUAAUUCUAAUACUUACAUUGGAUAAUGUCAAUCCAUUAUCUGAAAUUACUAAUAUUAGACAGGAAAAAAGAAGUUUGCGUUCUUGAAAAUCAGAAAUCUGAUACAGUAACCUUAAAAGAUAAAGAUAAAUGUUGGAAAAUUAUAGAACAAUCAUUUAAUAGUAGAUCUUCUGGCGAAUGUUGAAGUUCUGAAAUUUUGAAAAAUUGUUGAGAAAAUUUGAAAAAGAAGACAAGAAAAUUUUUUGCUGAUGCAGCUGUAUGAAACAGAUGGAGGAUCUUAUAAAUCAAAAUCGGAUGCUUCUAGAAAUUAUGUGUAACGAAAAAUUAUUAAACCUUCAGUUGAUGGUAUAACUAACAAUUUUACUAUGAUAAUAUAACAGGUAAAAUAUACUAUUGAGUGGAUGUCAUCAUAAGAAAAACAUAUAAUAUAUUUAUGUAUGUAUCAAAUAUGUACUUCAUAAAAUGUCCGCAAUAGGAAUACUAAUGAAUAAUAGAAGUAGACCACUUCAAAAAAGAAAACUUUAUGACAAUUUGGGUAAUAAGGAACGCAAACAGUAUAAGAGACAAGAGUCUAUAACUUCGAAAAUAUCACAAUAUAAUAUAUUAAAGGAUUUAAAAAUUGAGUUGGUGCAAUUUAUGAUAGAAGAUUUAAAGGCGAAAAGUGAAAUUGAAAUAAAAAUAUUAAAAAUGCAAUUAGAGAAAGAGAGGCAGGAAGUAUAAUGGAAGUACAAAUAUUGGAGAAAGAGCUGGAGUUAAAA
rnacentral:lncRNA from 1 species